rnacentral:lncRNA from 1 species
CUACUGAAAUGACUCAAUAAUAACAAUAAUAGUCAUCUAUUUGAGGGAUAUAAUAUGAUGUAAUAGAAAGAACAUUACUUUAGAAUUAAGAAGACUUGGGAUCAUAAGCUUAAUUUCAGUACCUUUUAGCUGUGUCAUUGGACAAAUUACUUGUAUGAAACUCAGUUUACUUCUCUGUAAAAUUAAUAUAAUAAUGCUUGCUUCAAAAGUUUGAAAGGGAAGCUCUUUAUAAAACUUGUGCUGUUUUUAAUAAAUGGCAAUAUCCUUAAUACUUAAUUUAUAACAAGAAGUAAAUAUCAUUACCUUUCAGGAAUUAAGCUAUUUUUCUUACUGAAGUACUUAAACAUUGGCUAGAGACUGCCUGGGGUGGAUGAGUACAUGGAAAGGGGGAAGGAAAUAUAUAGAAUCAUAAAGAAUUAUGAGAUUUAGAACUAGAAGGUACCUUAGAGAUCAUUUAAUCUAUCCCCUUUCUAUUUGACAGAUGAGAAAACUAAAUCUCAGGGGAAGAAGUGACUUUCCUGCACUGUGUCAAACUUCAAGAAGAGACAUGUUGGGAACCAAAACAAUGUUCUUCUUCCAUAAAUGAGGCCUGGACCUUGCACAGCAAUUUAUUGGCAAAUCAGGACAGGAGACAGCUGGAGGAAGCAAGAAGGAAUGGUUUCUCUGUCCCUCUAGAUGGGAAAAGUCCCUUGCCAGAGGAAAACGUCAGCCAAAGAGACUGCCACAAGAUGAAAUAAGUUUCCAAAACAGAUUACCUAGGCUUCAGUCAGCAAAACAAAUCAGAGAAGAAGAACAUGCCAGCCUCUCCCUGAAAGGUAAUUAAUAUACCUGUUGUCCUUGGCCUGUACAUAGAGUUGGGGAAUACAAGUGCAGUUUUGUUAGGAGUUUUAUACUUGAAGAGAGGGGUCUCAUUUAAGGGAGGUACAUAAGAAUCCUUAGGUUUAAUUUUGAAAGUAGGAUCUUUUGGUAAGAUUAUGG